rnacentral:tRNA from 1 species
GGAGGUGUGGCUGAGCGGUCGAUAGCGGCGGUCUUGAAAACCGUUGAACCUUUGCGGGUUCCGGGGGUUCGAAUCCCUCCGCCUCCG